rnacentral:lncRNA from 1 species
UUUAUAGUACGUAGUAAACCUGUAAAUAUUAUACUUAGGAACAAACUUAUUCGAAAUAAUUUAGAGUCAUGCAAAGUAUGGAGACGGGUUACCAAGGAAACUCAAUUUCAUGACUCCACUUCAUAAGGUACCAAAAGAGAUUUAUCACCAUAGCUGAAAACAUAGUAUUUUAGGAUUUGUUUUUACUAGUAGCAAAAUGCUAAUGAAAAGCAUAUUAAAAGCGACACAGGAGACGAGCUAACAAGAGCAUAUUCAAAAUAAUUCAUUCGACCCCGCGCACACAUCUACCUCCAUACCAAAGUACUGCGCCAGGAAAUUUACAUAGUCAUUUGACAUGCACCAUUACUAUACUAACUCCUAAGCUAUUAGGAAUGGCAGGACAGUCAGCAUAAACGCCUCAUAGGAAAAUGUUGCAGAGCCAGUAUNUCUAGUUGCCUAAAAUAGAACAAAACUUAUGGUUUACAUACUAGGAGAUAAAUCAGGUUGAUUAUGUUUCAUAUGUUUUUUUUAUAAUAAUAUGACAGACUACAAAGAAACAACAUUAUGCAAAUAUUAAACUAUAGGAAAUCAGAAAUGAAAAUUAAUUUCCUGUU